AGCCGAUGAAGGCGAGGAGUACUCACCGGAUCAGGAAGAGCUAAACAACAGUACGGGUCAGUAGAAAAUACAGCAGUGAUAAUAAUGAAUGAAAGAGACAUAUAUAUGAAAGAAAGUACAACUACCGCUACUGUAAUGAACAACUGAAUGUAUACCUGCAACAAGACUAUAGUAGCAAGAAAAUGUAACUAAAGAACUGAAGGUAUACAAGCGACAACAGCUACUAUAGUUAUAUGCGUCAACCAGACGAUAAGUCCAAAAUACCCAAUCUGUAAUGGCCGUAUUGGUACCCAACACCUCAGGCCAAUGCCCAUCUACUCUGACAGAAACAAGCCAUAUUGGUACCCAACACCUCAGGCUGAAAGCACAUAACCACACUAGGGCUCACGGGUUGACACAAGCAACCACUUUUCCGGAAAAGAACACCCUCUUGUGGUGGAUCAGACCGCUGGUGUUCAUGAAAUGCGACGAGUAUCGGGCGGUCAAUGCUGAUAUGCUCAAAGGCCAAACGUUGGCAACCAGCCGACAAUCCUGCCCACAGGGCUCAUCGACCGUAUAGGUCAUCAACUGUAAGGAAGCACAAGAACUGACCACUCAGGUCAACUAGGAUGGGACAACAUCAACAUCCUCUCAAACAUAUGCAAAUACUGUUCAAUGAACCACAAGAACUGACCACUAAGAUCAACUGGGAUAUAUGCACAACGAAUCGACGAAUAAAUCAUCAGGGUGUAUCAAUAGAAUUCAGAACUACCAUCGGCCACUAGCCAACAAUCCAACCCCUCUAGAGUACAUCGACCACGACGGUCAUCAAACGACAGAAGUCAAGGAACCGACCGAAUGUGUCACAACUACGGGAUACAAGAACAGACCAACCAGAUCACUGAUACGAAGUACGAGAACUAACCAACCAGGUCACUGAUACGAAGUACAAGAAUCGACCUACCAAGUCACUGAUAUGAAGUACAAGAAUCGACCUACCAAGUCACUGAUAUGAAGUACAAGAAUCGACCUACCAAGUCAACAGAUACGCACAUAGAUAGAACCACUCUACUCCUACUCAGGAUACUAAGCAUGCAAACAACGAGUAGAGUAUAAUGGAAUAACAUGGGUGCAAGGCUCAAUAUAUACUAUGCAAUAAUAACAACAGAAGAGUAAGGGUAAGAAACCAUCACCAAGCGUGCACCACUGUACCGACGUCGGAUCGAAGUACCCACCUGUACAAAUGUCGCACCUGUCUCCUGACUGCAAAAGAACAUCAACCAGACCUAAGGAGGGUCCACUGGGUUAGUUUCCAACCUACAAACAAUAAACGCUGAAUCUACAACUCCACAAACUAAAACCCACGGAUAUCGGUUUUCCAAAACCGAUUACCGUAACUCGCCGGAAGUCUCGAAAUCGCACCGGGACUCCGUAGGGACCCACGAACUGUCCCGGAACGUACCGACUCGUGCUACGAGUCAUCCGCUGCCACUAAACAUCAAUAAUCGUGCAUCAUGGCAGCAAACACCACUC
rnacentral:lncRNA from 1 species